rnacentral:lncRNA from 1 species
ACCUUGGUAGUGCAACCUACACUUUUGGAUAGAAUUAAAGAAAAACAAGUUCACGACGUGGAGUUGCAAAAGAUUAGAGAUAAAAUGGUUGAUGGUUGCACCGGCGAUUUCCUUGUGGAUGAUCAAGUGUCACGCCCCGGGACCCAGCGGAAGCCCGCCCGGUGCGUGCCCAGACCCGCCAUAUGUCUACAACAUAUAAGGCGUCUAAAACAACAAUAAUAAAAGCAAUAAUAAAAGACAUCUAGGAGUAUCAGAGCAUAAUAAAUGUCUAAAUGCUACAACAAGAAAUAAGGAUGAAAUUGUAAAUUCACUAAAUGAAACAUAAAGUAAAUACAAUAGAAAAUCCCAAAUACAAGUGCUAUAGGUAGGUACAUAGGUGGUCUCUACACAUGGAUACAAAAUCUCUCACUCUCCCAACUACAAAAAGAAAGAGCAAACCACCUAAGCAAGAAC